GCGGAAGUAGCUCAGUUGGCAGAGCGCAGGUUUCCCAAACCUGAGGUCGCGAGUUCGAACCUCGUUUUCCGCU
rnacentral:tRNA from 1 species